rnacentral:lncRNA from 1 species
AUGGUCAGGCACCAGAAGCCACACACAACUGGCUCGUCCUGGCAGAGGGCUCCAAAGGAUGAGCGAGGGUCACUGAAGCUCUCAGCGAACUGCAAAGGAAGGGAGGUUUCAUCUUGGAAAGCAGCACAGUCACUCCUGGAGAAGCCAACAGAGCGCCCUGCCGCGUUUUCUCUUCUCUUCUCUGCUGUAGAGAGCCGCGGGAACUGCGAGGUCGGCUCGCGCAUCUGUAACUUUUGGAGAAGCGCCGCGUGGGUGCGGCUGCUGCCCGGCGCCUGCGCAGCUGUGCUCGCAAGAUCCUCCCACCGCGCAGGCUCCGCGGAAAUGAAUGCUUACGCUCUACUGCCUAUCCAAAUACCUAGCUGCUGCUGCUGAGGGAGAAGAGCAGGAGCGUUGCCUUGAACGUGACCGCCACAUUAAGUCAUUGAGAGAACUAAAACUGGAGGGAGUUUGAAUCAGCAAGCAGAUGUGAAAAAACAGAAAGAUCUUUCUUGCUGUUCAUAAAAUCAUAUAGCCAAGGGAAAGAAAG